rnacentral:rRNA from 1 species
UACGUAGGAUCCAAGCGUUAUCCGGAAUUACUGGGUGUAAAGAGUUGCGUAGGUGGCAGAGUAAGUAGGUAGUGAAAGCGUUCGGCUCAACCGAAUAAACAUUAUCUAAACUGCUCAGCUAGAGGAUGAGAGAGGUUAUUGGAAUUCCCAGUGUAGGAGUGAAAUCCGUAGAUAUUGGGAAGAACACCGAUGGCGUAGGCAGAUAACUGGCUCAUUCCUGACACUAAGGCACGAAAGCGUGGGGAGCAAACGGG